UACGUAGGGGCCGAGCGUUGUCCGGAGUUAUUGGGCGUAAAGCGCGCGCAGGCGGCCUCGCGCGCCCGACGUGAAAGCCCCCGGCUUAACCGGGGAGGGUCGUUGGGGACGGCGGGGCUUGAGGGCGGGAGAGGUCGGUGGAAUUCCACGUGUAGCGGUGAAAUGCGUAGAGAUGUGGAGGAACACCAGUGGCGAAGGCGACUUUCUGGCCUAUAACUGACGCUGAGGCGCGAAAGCGUGGGGAGCAAACAGG
rnacentral:rRNA from 1 species